UCCCUGGUGGCUCAGAUGGUAAAGCGUCUGCCUACAAUGCAGGAGACCCCGGUUCAAUCCCUGGGUUGGGAA
rnacentral:tRNA from 1 species